ensembl:lncRNA
GUGAAAUUUGCUUUUGCAGCUGUUCUUUACAAAAUGGCUCCCAUUGAAUAAUGAGUGUCCUGCUUUUUAUUUAAAAAUUUUCAACCCAUAUUAGUUUCCAAAUAACAACAUCAAGUUUGUUGGCUUUGCUGAACUUGGCUGCAGGGUUGACCAGUACUUACUGGCACGUGAGCAGGCGCCCGUCCUCCUUCUGUUGACUGCUUCUUCAGUUACAGGACUUCAUUUAAGAUGCUGAAAUAAACUCUAAUUGAAUGCACCAUCUGGAAACAUUGAACUACAUGGAGAAAGCAGUGGGAUCAAUUCACAUCAUCCUCCACACCCCCACUGGACGCAGAUACAGUCCCAUUCCAAGGACUAAGAGCAUGCUGAGCUUUGGAUUCUCUUUUUUUGUAAAGCCCCGUCACUACAACAUUCAAAAGACGUGUGAAAAUGUACGUAACAUAUAUGGUAAAGCCAUCUAUGUUGACAUAAAUGGGUAAGAAAUACAAACUCUUCAGCAACCUGAUUUUUUUCACUUGCAAACAUAAGGUGGAUAUACAGAGCUCUAGCUCAUCCUUUGUAAUGACAGCAUAGCUUUCCAAUGUGCUAUAAUUUAUUUCAACAUUCUCCCAUUAAUUGACAUUUGAGUUGUUUCCUCUUUCUUGUAAUUUGCAAACAAUGAUGCAGUUAAUGUACUGGGAAAUGAAUGUUUGCAUAGUUGAACAAAUAUUUCUAUAGGAUAAAUUUCUAUAAUUAUAAUCUUUGGCUCAAAGGAACCAUACAUUAACGCUAUGAUUGUUAAAAAAAUCAUUCCUUUUAACAUUCUUGCCAACUCUUAGGUAUUAGCAUUUUUAAUCUUUGCCAGUUUGAUGUGUCAAAACCAUAUUGUUUAGGGGCACCUGGGUGGCACAGUGGUUAAGCGUCUGCCUUCGGCUCAGGGCGUGAUCCCGGCGUUGUGGGAUCGAGCCCCACAUCAGACUCUUCCGCUAUGAGCCUGCUUCUUCCUCUCCCACUCCCCCUGCUUGUGUUCCCUCUCUCGCUGGCUGUCUCUAUCUCUGUCAAAUAAAUAAAUAAAAUCUUUAAAAAAGAAAAAACAUAUUGUUUAAAUCUGCAUCUGUUUGAAAAC